ensembl:lncRNA
UGGAGCGAAGAUUUUCAAUGCAAAUCAGAAUAUUUUCUAUACAAACGUGUUCCCAGCUGUACUCCUACCGCACCCUGUCUGUUACCAUCAAUUGGCCAUGGGUUUCCAUAUAGAUCACAGGUGUUACUGAAACAGAGUAAAUCCAGCAGCUCUGUGUUUGAUCCUCCAUCAGCUCAGCUCUUCACUGUAAUCCAGAUCUCCUAACAUGAUGCUCUGCUCCGGACUCAGCAGCACACUGUUGCUGGCAGCUACGUGUUCACUCAUCACUUCAGGGUUGUUUUUCUUUUUAUUUGGUUGGUGUCUCUAGUGAAAAUGAAAUUCACCUUCUAUGGUGGCAGCGCUCUUGAGGCAGAUGAAAUUUCCUCAGCAGAGAUAGGACAGCCCCACAACU